rnacentral:misc_RNA from 1 species
UUAAGCGAGUGUUCUUUUGUAGCUCGGUUACAAAAGAAUGCACCUAUUGUAGAAUCGCUAAUAGCCAUCUCGAAUGUUCAGCCAACGCGAGCAGUGCAAUGAGAAGAAAAACAAUAACAACAAUGCAAAGCAAAGCCUACUUCGAUGUUGGGAAACAAAAGCAGUAACAACAACGAAGCGCACCGUAGCCUACUUCGUUGCUUUCAGUGAGUGAAGCGAAGAAUAAGAUUUUUAAAUCUGAAGUUCAGUUAAAUAAUUGGCGUCGCUGCGCACAAAAUGUGUGAGAAGCUGAAGGAGCUACUGGUUCAAUUUAACCAAGAAAAUUUAUUUAAGGAACUAUCUGACGCUGGCAUAACCUACAUAAGACUGCAAUACCUAAACGAUGCGGAUAUCUCAGAUGCUAUUAAAAGUGUAGGCGAACGGGCGGAGUUCAGAGAAAAACUUUGGCUUUGGCGACAACAAAAGUAUCCGAGACCUAAAAAAACGAUUUCAGAUUGGACCAACAAGUUUUUGCUAGAUGAAGUGCUUCGUGAAAGUCCUGAUGGUCGAUCACUUAUUUCAUUGCGUUCAGAUGACGAGAAAACACCCAGGCUAAAUGAAAGUCAGCGUUGUAAACUAUUAAAUGCAAUUUGUAGCUACACAGCUGAGCACAACAUAGAAUUGCGAACAAACCCCUUUUUGGACAUAGUAAAAGAAAUUGGAGAGUUUUUUCCAGGUGAAAAGGAAUAUCUGGACUAUUAUUACAUUAAAAGAAAAGUUGGUGGUAGCCCAUCCGGAAAAUUGUACUCCAAAUACGUAAACCUCUAUUACAAACGUAAAAGACUAAGCACUAUUUCGGCUGAGACUACGAUCGUUGAGUCUUCUAAAUGUUCCGAAUCUCCAGAGUUUGACGAAAGGAUUUUAUCUGGUCUUAAAACAGAAUUGCAACGUGACUGCUCCAAUUGGGAUACAGUAUGCGAUAGAUGGGCCAAGACGUUUCCUCUGCGACGCAAAGAGUUGAAGGAAUUAAAUAACGUGGACUUUUUAAAACAGUGGCCGAAGUUAUUGGACAGCAGAUCAGUUUCUUUGAUAAAUAUUGACUUUGACGUGUUGUAUCCUUCCAAGCAAUAUAUUCUGAAGUCCAAGUUUGAAAAAUUUAAAAACAGGAUUUGUAAAUAUUACCAAAUAAAUUUGCGAAAUCAACUCUCUAAAUCAGCUCUAAAGGAUGCUAUAGAAAGCAAUAAUUUAGGAAUAACGAAGACUGCACAUUGAUUACGUUGCUGAACUCUACACUGCACCCUUCGUUCAGAUUUGAAGACUCAUCCGAUUUUGUAAGAAUACUAAAUCAGAAACAAGGAUCAGUGCAGAAGAAACCAACAGAACAGUACUAUCUUACGAAAAUGACUUAAAAGAUAUUAACUCCGGAAUCAAAAGUGAGUGUCCGUUUAAUAAAUUAAGAUAUUUUCACGUUAUUAAUAACGUUUCCUUCGAUAUAAUGCAGGAUAUGUUAGAAGGUGUUUGCGUGUACGACACUUCAAAAAUUGUGUUAAGCCUUAUUGAAUCCUAAGUAAUAA